rnacentral:lncRNA from 1 species
AAAAAAUAUAUUUUAAAUAUUAUGGAGAUACCAUGUUGGAGUACAAGCUUUAUAUUUUGUUUGUACAUGUGUAAAAGAAGAUAAUAGAAGAAAAUUGGAGUUGAAAGAGUAUUGGGAGGACUAGAUUAAAAAGGGAAGAAACUUAGAGGGUAAAACGAUAAUUUUACAUAACAUUUGGUCAAAGUUUUCAAAGGAAGCUUUGACUCUCAUCUGUAUCAGCCAUGACCGUCCUUAUCUCCUCCAGCAAGAUAUUUUCUUCUUCUUCUUGAAGCUUCCAACGCCAUUUUCAUUUCAAGUUCAUGAAAAUCAAAUUUUUUCAUGUGAUUUCCCUUGUUUCUUUUCAUUUCCUUUCUUUUCUUACUUCUUUCUUCUCCAAACUUCUUGGGCACUAAACUUGCAGCUUCUAACCCCAAUUUCCAGCACAUCUAAACCUUAAGAGAAGAAGCAAGAAAAAGAAAGAAAGGAAGAAAAGCUUGGUUUUGUAAUUCAAGCAAGCUAAGGUAAGGAUUUUUGUGUUUUAAGCUCAUGGUUGGUUAAAUCUUUGGAAAAAUAAUGUGUGAAUCAUUUUGGUAGCUUGAUGAUUAAUGUUUUGAAGGAAUAUUAGAGUGUAAGUACGGGUCAAGCAACCAUAAAGGUAAAGACAAAUGAUGUUUUAAGUGUAGUUGAGGAAUCUUGAGAAAAUGGGUAUUGUUGUGUAGUUGACAUUUUAAGUGGCAUAUUGUGAGAAAUUGUGGUUGUUGUGGAAAUGAUGGUUGAACUUGAUAAAUAUCCUUAGAAAAGAUUAAUAUGUUGGUCCCGUUACUAUGUGCUAAAGGGGGGGUGAAUAGCACAAUUUGGCUCUUGAUUGGAUGGGGAACUAAUUUCCAAAACAAAGAAAGUAAAAACAUAGUAGACAAUGGACAACAAUUUAUAGUGGUUCGGUCCAAGACCUACAUCCACUACCUUGAUUAUCCAACCAAAGAUUUUCCCAACAAUUCACUAAGAAUCCGGUGAAAUUCACAAGCUUCCACCAAGCUUUUACAAUGGCUUUUCGCAAGGUCAACCACAACCUUUACACUAGUUUUUCCCAGGCUAAACUAAAACCCAAAGUGGUUUUCCAAGGCUCAACCAUAACCUAUAACAUUCAAGCUUUCCCAAGCUUGAACAAUCCCUUAGAGUGACUCCUUCACUCUAAGUGUACAAGAAGAAGUGGUAAAAGAAAGUACCUAUGAUCACUGGAUGAUUUGAUUAGUAUAGUAUUGAGAGUUAAUCACAAAUGCAAAGAGUAGGCAUUGAGGUGCAGACAAUGGCAAUGAAGCUUUUCUGGUUUUUCAACUUUCUAUAGCUCAAAUCUCAUUCAAAGCUUUAAAAAACUUCUCAAAAACUUGUUUCUAAUUGUUGGAAUACCCUUUUAUACUUAUAGAUAUAACUCUGAUGGCAGUUUGGCAGUUUAUAUCCGUUGAAAAUAGUUGAGGAUGAGUUCUAGCCGUUAAUCUGUCUUGUAAUGCUCUAAUUCAAAUUGUAGACAGAGAGCUCUUAGUCGACUACCCUGGUUGACUAAGUUGGUUCUGUUUCUAGUUUGCAGAUUCUGACAGAGAGCACUUAGUCGACUGUCUUGGUCAACUAAAUUGGUUUUAUUUCUCAAACUCUUCAGCCCGCCAUUUCUCCAAUCUGAAAUUUGGUCAUCCAAUGUUCUUCUUUGUUUCACUAAUAAGCUUCCUCCUUGUUGUUCAAUUACACUUUAAUAAUUUUAUCCCUCUUUUUCUUUCAAAAACACUCUUUAGAUUAAUUUCUCAUAUUAAUUCUCUACACACUCAAAUAUGGAUGUUAAACACAAAUGAAUGGGAAUGUUUUAUUAUCAUCAAAAACUAAUGGAGCCAACAUAAUAUAUGUGUUAAAGUCAUAAACAAGUUGCUUGUAAUCAUAAUUUAAAGAAUUACGCAAGCAAGGGAUAAAAGAAACUUUGGUAAAAAUUGUGUCAAGAUAAGUUAAGUUGAAUAAGGAUUCAUGAUUGAAUGAAAAAGGGAAGUAUAAAUGAUGUACGCUAAAGAUAUUGAAUUAGGAUUGUUGCUAGGAAGUGCAACAGUAAAGGUAGCGUACUGUGGUGGUGUGCCAGGGGAAAUAAUGACCGACUGGUAAGUAAGAAUAGCUAGAUAUGCCUUCGAACAAAUAGCGAUGUAAUAUCUCACUAUCGUAAGGUGAGUGAACUUGCAUUUCAAAAUGUUUUGGGAAGUGUCUGCAUGUUUAAAUAAAUCAUUUAAAAGUUUCAUUUGUAUUUGCUUUAAAAAAAUAUACUUGGGGAACAAGCCCUUGAUGAAAUGUUUUUAUCUUGUGAAAUGUGCAAUAUGAAUAGUUCAUGCGUUAUCACAUUAUAUUGAUAUGUAUAUUAUGCUUUGGAUGCUCCUUUUGUGUGAUAAUAAUGACCCAGUUAUGUGCGGUGUAGGAGUGCACAUGAGCUGAUGAUGACCUAGCUAUGUGCGGUGUGGGAGUGCACAUGAGCUGAUGAUGACCCUGCUAUGUGAGGUGUGGGAGUACACAUGAACUGAUGAUGACCCGACUAUAUGCUAGUAGGGAGUGCACAUGAGCUGAAUGUGGCAGGAUGGUAUGCAUGAUGAUGUAUGUAUAUAUAUAUGUUAUAGAAAGUUUAUGAAAAUAUUUGUGAAUGUGUUGUAUGUUGGCAUUGUUAAUUGCUCCCAAAUUACUUUUCAUUUCAGCAAGAAAAUGGCUUUUUGAUGUAACAAGACCCCUUCAACUAAAUUGCUCUGUUUCUUGUUGCAGCAAGAUCCAUUUUCACUAUAGCGAG